CAGGAGAUAUCUAUUCAGAACUCUGAUUCCUACAUACUAGUACUUUCGUUGACCUGUUCUUCAUAUGUUUUAUGUUUCUGUUGUUAAUUCACUCGUUCCAGGUGAAUGAUUCUCUACCAUCCCGCAAUCACUGUUCCCUCGGAUAUUCUCAAGAGAGGAACAGUCUCAGCUAUUUCUUAAUAUCUUUAGCAUUUUGUUAUAAAGUUCGAUUGGUACUGCUGCUCCCCGUGGCAUCAAAUAUCAAGCUUGUGUUUGUUUUUUCCAUGAGAUCCUUGAUAUGCUGGCAAUUGUCACCACGGUUUUCUCAACAUUCGUCAAAACCCUCUCAGACCCU
rnacentral:sRNA from 1 species